UUCGAUUCACCUUCUUCCUCCGUCCCCAUGUAGAUAUUAAUGGCGUGGUGAUUAAAAUAUCCACUAACCCAAAUUUGAAUCGUGAAGGAUCGGAGGCGGUUUUGGGUUCGUGGAGAUCGAUGAGGAGGAGAAAACCGUAUGAGGUAGAUGUGAGGGAGACGAGGUGGUGAGUGUCGCCUCUUCUUGCCGGAGGAUGGUGAACCAACAGUGUUGGAAAAGAGAUAUCUCUGUUGAUUGCCG
rnacentral:lncRNA from 1 species